rnacentral:lncRNA from 1 species
AUGUGGGUUUCUUGGUGCUGUGCUUGUGCUGAUGGUGACCUCGUGUUGUUCAUCAUCUCCUUUGGGACCUGGCUGCAGCUCUCAGCAUCUCCCAGCAUUGGCCUCGCUUUCCAGAACGGCACCUACGAGCUCAGCAGACAGCUCAACAUUCUCAUCUUGUUUUUUCCUGACCUGGAACGAAGCCACGUUUCAAACUAUGGAUGUUUUGAGACAGACCGUACCUUCUUCAAAGCGCUGGACCUCUGCUCCAGUCCAACUUCGGCAGAGCAACUGGCUGUCGCCGGCGUGGCUGGGAAUUUUAUAGGGGUUUGCAGCUGCACCCGUUCAGACGGCUGCACUGAGACUGUUCCAGCAGUCUUUGCUUUCAGCUCCAGGGGUGGACGCUACAAAUCACGAGUAGCUUUUGUAUUAUGGUCCCACCAAGGAAUGCUAAUCAUGAACUCAGCUCCCUCAGUGAUGGGUACUCUGUGCGUUUCUUGGAGUCUGAGCUCUGUAGGACCUUUGGGUAAUGAAGCCCAAUUGGAGAAAGCAACGCCAUGAGCAUUAGAAUAAGGUACGGUGCAAAUGGACACACCUGGGCUGCCUGGUUUGAACCAGCAUUGCUAUACAGAUGCUGGGAAAGAGUUAUCCCAGGGCAUCUUUCCAUUGCCAUUCCCAGGCCCCAAGCACUUGCUCACCCGCUUUAUGCAACUGAAAUCCCGCUCUGGUUUGUUGGCGUAAUAUCGGCACACCCUUUUUUAUUAACGCAGAGCUCACGGGGGAAGGAGAAGUUGAUGGGGUGGGGACCCCUUGGUUUAGCAGCGCCAGUUCCACACCCACCCUUCAGCUGGUCUGCUUGCGAUCAUCGUUCUGGGGAGCAGCGGACCAGGUCAAUUACUCCAUAACAGCUCCAUCUAUGACUCUUCGGUCAUGCAGCUGUAUCAGAAUUACAACAAAAACAGCCUCAGUUAUCCUAGUUGGAUGUGAAAGUAGACGCGUGUUCCAUGAGAAGCGGUGAUGCCAGAAUGUGGAGGUCAAUGUUGUUCAGUGUUUUUUUGGCAAAAGAAAAACCUAUCGUAUGGAAGCCGGUGCCUGGGGAAUCUCCAUGGAGCAGCGAGAUGAGCUCUGUGCACGACUGGAGAUAAUGGGGCUUGGGGAGAUGAUUGAGCCAGGGAAUAUUGGAGAGCAGCUCAGCAUGGCUGCCAACAACCCCCCCAAGCCCAGUGGCCACCCUUCUUUGAGAUGAAGUCAUUGGAAGCAACAAAGUGAUUUAUCUGGGGAGCCAACCUGCCUCCAGAAUGCCUGAAGGCAAUAGUGUGUUUCUGGUACAUCUGGAGCCAUAUUAUGAGUAGGUAUUUGUAUUCUCGGCCAUCUGUGCAUACGGGUGCUAGCGAUACGGCCUCGUUCCCCCCAGUCAGCUCAAAGUUGCCAAGUUUCCUUCUUUAUUUCUAUUCCCCCCCCCUGCUUCCCUCCAGCAAAAGGCUCCCAGCUCUUCUUUCCUGGAGACCGAGGUGCUUAGCACUGUCAGCACCGCAUGAGCCAUCCCUGCAGUAACAGACCU